UACGUAGGGUGCAAGCGUUGUCCGGAAUUACUGGGCGUAAAGCGUGCGUAGGCGGUCUCGCAAGUCCGCUGUGAAAGCCCCGGGCUUAACCUGGGAAUGGCAGUGGAAACUAUGGGACUUGAAUCUGGCAGAGGGGGGUGGAAUGCCACGUGUAGCAGUGAAAUGCGUAGAGAUGUGGCGGAACACCGAUGGCGAAGGCAGCCCCCUGGGCUAAGAUUGACGCUCAGGCACGAAAGCGUGGGGAGCAAACAGG
rnacentral:rRNA from 1 species